GUUGCGAAGGCCGAGUGGUUAAGGCGUUGGACUCGAAAUCAAAUGGGAUCUUCCCGCGCAGGUUCGAAUCCUGCCCGCAACG
rfam:Nematostella vectensis strain CH2 x CH6 NEMVEscaffold_452_Cont27642, whole genome shotgun sequence.